ensembl:snRNA U6 U6 spliceosomal RNA
GUGCUCACUUCGGCAGCACUUAUACUAAAACUGGACCGAUACAGAGAUUAGCAUGGUCCCUGUACAAGGAUGACAUGCAAAUCCAUGAACCCUCCAUAUUUUUU